GAUGAAGAACGUAGCGAAAUGCGAUAAGUAAUGUGAAUUCAGAAUUCAGUGAAUCAUCGAAUCUUUGAACGCACCUUGCGCCCUUUGGCUAUUCCGAAGGGCAUGCCUGUUUGAGUAUCGUGAACACCUCAACUCUCAUGGUUUGCCAUGAUGAGCUUGGACUUUGGGGGUUUUGCUGGCCUUUGGUCGGCUCCUCUCAAACGGAUCAGCUUUCCAGUGUUUGGUGGCGUCACGGGUGUGAUAACUAUCUACGCCUGUGGUUUUCUGCCAGAUAACCUUCAGCGAUGGAGGUUCGCUGGGGCUCAUAAAUGUCUCUCUUCAGUGGAGACAGCUUUUUGGACGUUUGAUCUCAAAUCAGGUAGGACUACCCGCUGAACUUAAGCAUAUCAAUAAGCGGAGGA
rnacentral:misc_RNA from 1 species